rnacentral:tRNA from 1 species
UCCCUGAUACUCCAGUGGUUAAGACUGCACUGACAAUGCCGGAAACACAGGUUCAGUUCCUGGUCAGGGAA